CGGGAUGUAAAUAAAAAUAAACUAACCUCAACAGGAGAAAGUUGCUGCUACUUUCAUCUUUUCUGCUGCAGCCGAGGCCUCGCACAGAGAUCAGGGACAGAACAUCACCUUGAAGAAAAGUUCCCAAUUCUGAGCCGGAACUGUCAGGAAGAGGCUGUGUAUGCGAGGCAGGAAGGGCCUAAUAUACGUACUGAGGGUUGAGGACAGUGUCAACGCCGACAGCAACAACACAGAUGCCCUCUGCUCUGGGCCUCCGCGCGGGCACAGAGCAGCCCUCUCGCUCCCCACGCUCCUCUCCAGUCUGCAUUAGUUAGCUGCUCUGAAGGUCAUUCAAGACGCCUCAAGUAUUUUCUGUGUGCGGAUGAUCGAGCUGCGAAGCGCCUUUUGGCGCGGCGGCUCACCUCCGAUUGGCUCGGUUUGGCUGAGAGGAGCGAUGUGAGAGCACAGUUCAUCCGCACAGACAAAGCAGAGCCAGACAUGUCACUUGUGGCAGACGGCUGCGCCGGAGUCAACUUGAUGGACAGCCGGGACUAACGGGGAGGACAAGUGUGGCCGUCCAAAAGUUUCACGUCAUUCUGAUGGCAUGGACGUCGCAAAAGCUGUGUCACCUGCUUUGUUCUACUGAUCUCCUGGCAGAUGUUUCAGGAGGGGAUUUCAGCGGUGGAGAGAUCAGUCAGCUUUUACACACUUCAGCACCCGAUCCGAGUGAGCAAUCGGCUGACGACGGGGGGAAACAAGAUUGGUGCGCUGGUGUUUUUUUUUUUUUUUUGAAGGCCGAACCUGGCUCAAAGCGGCUACCCACGGCCGUGAAACAACGCUAAAUUCAUAUAAUCAUAAAAUGUCAAAAAAUUAGCUUUCGCUGGGGGAGGGAGUGGCACAAUGGAGGCACAAUGGUCCUUUUGGGUCCUUCUGCCACUUCUACUCCAACUGCCACCUCUGGCCCAGAAAAAGCUAUCGCAAUCAGCCACAGUGGCCUUUCUCCCGAGCCCCCCCUGCCCGGCCCCUGUGAGGCGGUGACUCACGCAUAUUACUGCCUGACACUGGGCCACCUCAGGAGAUGGGGACGGCGGUAAGCGAUGACCCGGUUGUCAGGCGGUGACUCACACCUACGCGGCCACCUGCAGCCACGGCACCGAGGAUUAGCGCGAGGCCGGGCCGGCCGGCCCUUACGCGCCGUUCGCUUGCUCGCUCGCUCGCUCGUUCGCUGGCUGGCCGCUGCUCUUUUGCUCUGUCAAUCUCCAAAGACUCUCCACACGUAAGCUCUUCAUCAGAGCCUGAUGACCAGCCCUGUGGCUGAGUAGGACAUGUGAACAUUGAGAAAUGUUGUAAUAAAUGUGUU